GUCAGAAAGAGCUCAGUGAGUUCAUCUUCAGCAUCAACCAUGUUCUCUGCAGCUCUGAUGCUGCUGCUGACAGCUGGAUCCUGUGUGGACAGUAUUGAUCUCAUCCAGCCAGACUCAAAGGUUGUUCAGCCUGGACAGUCUUUGACCAUCAGCUGUCAGGUUUCUGGAUAUCCACUGACCGAUGACAGCUAUGGAUCAGGCUGGGUCAGACAGCCAAAAGGAAAACCAAUGGACUGGAUUGUUCAUCAGUGGGGUGGAGGGACCUUAAAACAAAAUGAAGCUCUGAAAAACAAGUUCAGCUUCAGCAGAGACACUUCCACAGGAACAGUAACAAUAACAGGACAGAAUCUGCAGCCUGAAGACACAGCUGUGUAUUACUGUGUGAGGGUGCACCACAGUGAUACAAACCUGUACAAAAACUCAACAGCUAUGAAGACAACUUAAGUGUUUAAUUUAUAAUGUAAGGAGUGUCAAACUCAAUCGCACAGGAGGCCAAAAUUUAAAUAACAUAAAAAAACUUAAUUUAAUAAU